rnacentral:rRNA from 1 species
AAAUUGAAGAGUUUGAUCAUGGCUCAGAUUGAACGCUGGCGGCAGGCCUAACACAUGCAAGUCGAACGGUAACAGGAAGCAGCUUGCUGCUUUGCUGACGAGUGGCGGACGGGUGAGUAAUGUCUGGGAAACUGCCUGAUGGAGGGGGAUAACUACUGGAAACGGUGGCUAAUACCGCAUAACGUCGCAAGACCAAAGAGGGGGACCUUCGGGCCUCUUGCCAUCAGAUGUGCCCAGAUGGGAUUAGCUGGUUGGUGAGGUAACGGCUCACCAAGGCGACGAUCCCUAGCUGGUCUGAGAGGAUGACCAGCCACACUGGAACUGAGACACGGUCCAGACUCCUACGGGAGGCAGCAGUGGGGAAUAUUGCACAAUGGGCGCAAGCCUGAUGCAGCCAUGCCGCGUGUAUGAAGAAGGCCUUCGGGUUGUAAAGUACUUUCAGCGGGGAGGAAGGUGUUGUGGUUAAUAACCGCAGCAAUUGACGUUACCCGCAGAAGAAGCACCGGCUAACUCCGUGCCAGCAGCCGCGGUAAUACGGAGGGUGCAAGCGUUAAUCGGAAUUACUGGGCGUAAAGCGCACGCAGGCGGUCUGUCAAGUCGGAUGUGAAAUCCCCGGGCUCAACCUGGGAACUGCAUUCGAAACUGGCAGGCUUGAGUCUUGUAGAGGGGGGUAGAAUUCCAGGUGUAGCGGUGAAAUGCGUAGAGAUCUGGAGGAAUACCGGUGGCGAAGGCGGCCCCCUGGACAAAGACUGACGCUCAGGUGCGAAAGCGUGGGGAGCAAACAGGAUUAGAUACCCUGGUAGUCCACGCCGUAAACGAUGUCUACUUGGAGGUUGUGCCCUUGAGGCGUGGCUUCCGGAGCUAACGCGUUAAGUAGACCGCCUGGGGAGUACGGCCGCAAGGUUAAAACUCAAAUGAAUUGACGGGGGCCCGCACAAGCGGUGGAGCAUGUGGUUUAAUUCGAUGCAACGCGAAGAACCUUACCUGGUCUUGACAUCCACAGAACUUUCCAGAGAUGGAUUGGUGCCUUCGGGAACUGUGAGACAGGUGCUGCAUGGCUGUCGUCAGCUCGUGUUGUGAAAUGUUGGGUUAAGUCCCGCAACGAGCGCAACCCUUAUCCUUUGUUGCCAGCGGUUAGGCCGGGAACUCAAAGGAGACUGCCAGUGAUAAACUGGAGGAAGGUGGGGAUGACGUCAAGUCAUCAUGGCCCUUACGACCAGGGCUACACACGUGCUACAAUGGCGCAUACAAAGAGAAGCGACCUCGCGAGAGCAAGCGGACCUCAUAAAGUGCGUCGUAGUCCGGAUUGGAGUCUGCAACUCGACUCCAUGAAGUCGGAAUCGCUAGUAAUCGUGGAUCAGAAUGCCACGGUGAAUACGUUCCCGGGCCUUGUACACACCGCCCGUCACACCAUGGGAGUGGGUUGCAAAAGAAGUAGGUAGCUUAACCUUCGGGAGGGCGCUUACCACUUUGUGAUUCAUGACUGGGGUGAAGUCGUAACAAGGUAACCGUAGGGGAACCUGCGGUUGGAUCACCUCCUUA